rnacentral:lncRNA from 10 species
GCAGAUUGUAAAAAGUUCAGGCAUUAAUUUUCUUUUUCAACAACAGGGUGCCUGGCACAAGGAGAUACUCAGUAAAACUCUCAUCUGCUGUGUCAUUAAGGGGAACACUUAAUGGCUCACGCCUGUAAUCCCAGCACUUUGGGAGGCCGAGGCGGAAGGAUCACCUGAGCCCAGGAGUUGGAGACCAGCCUGGGCAACAGAUUGAGACCCUGUCUCAACAAAGAAGAAGAAGAAGAAAAAGGCCAGGCGCCGUGGCUAAUGUCUGUAAUCCCAGCACUUUGGGAGGCCAAGAAGGGAGAACUGCUUGAGGCCAGGAGUUCGAGACCAGCCUGGUCAACAUAGCGAGACACCCCCCCCAUCUCAAAAAUAAAUAAAUCAAAAUAAAAAAUAAAGAGGAGGCCGGGCUUGGUGGCUCACGCCUAUAAUUCCAGCACUUUGGAAGGCCGAGGUAGGUGGAUCACGAGGUCAGGAGUUCAAGACCAGCCUGGCCAAGAUGCUGAAACCCCAUCUCUACUAAAGAUACAAAAAGUUAGCCGGGCGUGGUGGCACACGCCUGUAAUCCCAGCUACUCGGGAGGUGGAGGCAGGAGAAUUGCUUGAACCUGGGAGAUGGAGGUUGCAGUGAGCCGAGAUCACGCCAUUGCACUCCAGCCUGGGCGACAGGGCAAGACUCCAUCUCAAAAAUAAUAAAUGCCGGGCGCGAUGGUUCAUGCCUGUAUUUCCAGCACUUUGGGAGGCCAAGGCGGGCAGAUCACAAGGUCAGGAAUUCGAGACCAGCCUGGCCAAUAUGGUGAAACCCUGUCUCUACUAAAAAUACAAAAAAAAAUAGCCGUGGUGGUGGGUGCCUGUAGUCCCAGCUACUUGGGAGGCUGAGGCGGGAGAAUUGCUUG